CAGGCUCCGGACGCGCAGGCUCAGCGGCCACGGCUCACGGGCCCAGCCGCUCCGCGGCAUGUGGGAUCUUCCCGGACCGGGGCGCGAACCCGCGUCCCCUGCAUCGGCAGGCGGACUCUCAACCACUGCGCCACCAGGGAAGCCCUGAUGCCUUUUUUCAAGAGGAACGGAAUAUUUCUAGAUCACAGGGACAUAUAAUGGAAUUUUCCUUUCUUUAUCCACUUUGAUGACUCCAGUAUUGGAUAUUAUUAAAGAUCUGAGCAGAUUACUCUGGCCACAGAGGCCAAAUUUAUAAGAACUUCCAUAACCAUUUGUCUUCGAGCCUACAGUAAAGGAAGAGAUUAUAGAAGUGGAAUCCAUGUUUAUCUCCCCGUCCCCAUCAUUUCCAUUGGAAUUAAUUAUUUUUGAAUCUUUUUAGUGUAGUUUGAGAUAACUGGUUGAACGGUAACUCUAGGUACUCUUUCAGGCUCUGACCAAUCACCUGGAAUUUGAGGACUGAAGAAGAAAGACAUCUCUGGCAAAAGGAAGCUGUAAAUCGUAUUCCUUUUGGGUAUGUAAGUACCUCCUUCUUGAAGGUGACCAAGUCCCUCCCUCCAAGCGAGUAUCAAUGACAAAGUGUGGAAAUGGAGGGGAAAAGAAAGAAAUCCUCAACUCUGUGGUGGGAUUCUGUUCUUUUUGUUUGUUUGUUUUUUAAAUCCUACUGCGGUUGAAUAGAACGACCACCCCAGUCUGAGAUGCGGACGACAGUCAGACAUAUGACUGGGCUAAAGUAGCCAUAUUGUUGCAUUUGGGUCGUGAUCCUGACCCAGUGACUUUUCAUUUUAUUAAAGAGGACAGAUGUUCAAAAACUGGCAGCUGUAAUUAGACCCAGAUUUAUCAAAACGGUCCUCUUGCAGACUACACUAUGCCCGGUUUUCCGUCCUAAUGGGGAAAAAAGUGCAAUCACAAGACAAUCUGGCGUGGUGACUCCAACUGGCCAGUCAUACACGAGUCCAAACUGUUCUAGAAAUCCUGGCUCUGGUGAGACAGUAAGAGCCAAAACCCAAGAGAGGACGCGUACAAAGCUGGGCUGCAGAGAAUCCGCCUAUUAAGACAAUCACAGGCUCACUCACUGUACAAACUCCAAAGCCAGGAACGCCUUAGCGAUCCAAGCCCCGCGAUGGAUGCCCCAUCCACACCUACCGCAGCCUUGGCUAAGGGUCUACUUCGAAGGCAGGCCCUCCGCAAGCCCCCGGCUCUCCCUUCCCUUCCCGCCACUUCUGAAUUUAUAUAACAACUGCCUUCUUUUAAAAAAAAAUGGAAAAAAAACCCCUGUUUUCAUUUCCAAAUGUGGUGAACUCAUUUUGAUGAACAGCACAUCUGAACAUUCCUCACUCCCCUACAGUUUGUCAAAUAAUUUGCAUCAAGUCCUUUUUUCAACAGAUCUCUUGUAACUGCAGUAAAGCACUUUUUUCUUUUUUGGCAGAGUGAAAAGACAGACCCAUUGCCCGAUUUUUCUACCCCCGCCCCAAGGUGCAGCUGGACAAGCAUCUCGACUGCCUUUGUUUGAGACAACACAGUGGUCCUGCCUCUCCCCGACGUGGAAGUUCUGCUGGGACCAUCAUAACAGAUGCUGAGAACAAAAGGCAAACCUGUAACCCAGACACCGAGGGACCCAGCCGCUCAGUAUGGACUUUUCGGGCUCACUCGUUUUUCUGCUGUUGGUUCGACUGGCCGGAGCAGUAGCUAAAAACUAUUUCCAAACAGUCCUAAUUGCUACGGUCGGAGGAAACGAGAAUGCGUGCAAAGGAAAAUCUAAUACUGCCUUUUGCUUCAAAUAGCCAAGUUCCUGUGUUUUAUAACAUUUCCAUAAAGGAGACAGUACCUACACUGUAAUUACUUGCCCACCAGAUCUGAAGGAAUGUGGUUUCUCCAGCGUUGGGAGCUGUUCUCCGGUGGGCAGGAAUAUACCCUAAAGCAAAGCCUAGCUCUGACGUUCUCAGGACCACAGAAUACGACUUACGGUAUUUUCCUGACCUCAUGAUAGUGAACAAGUCUUUUUCAAAAAUCCUUAACAACUUAAUAAAGUAUUACUACAGACAUGCUUCUUGGUUGUUGUUGUUAUUAUUUUACCCUCUGAGUGAGGCCUCCCUCCAAGGACAAGCAUUCACCCCCAAGCAAUCCAUUUGGGUGUUUACCUUGAGAACAUUAACUGGUACUGAGCUUGGAACAAAAGAAUACCAUUCUCAUUAGGACAGUUUGCGGUCGCCUGAUUUUUCCCUUGUGCUUCUCUGAACACAGAAAAGAGACGCAUCUUUAAAAUCGCCAACAUACAAUACACGUGGCCAUUCUGCACGAAUGUCAAGUCCGCCUUUGCCCACUGUAUGUCCCCCAUCGCUAGAACGUACAGCUCUGUUCUGGUAAACUUUUCCAAGCAGGGGCCAGCCUUAAUAAAAUUCAAGGCUUCUAAGUAAAAUUAUGACAAACGAAAAGCUUAUUUCAGCCGCUGUUGGCCAUUCCUUUCCUUCCUCCACUCGGAUCUUCUUCACACCCUUUCCCAGUUCCCUUCCUCAGAGACACACAGACACACGCACCUACCCUUAACCCGAGAAGAGAGUCACGAAACUCGCUUCUUUCCACUUCUUCCUAUUCAUCUUUUAGGUUUCACCUUAGAGGUCACUUGUCCCAGAAGUCUUUCCUCAAGCCCACCGUCUAGGGCAGCGGUCCACACACUCACUCACCCAGAGCACGGCUCACGCAGGGAGAGCCUGGGAGUGUGUCUUUGGCAGUUGGUCCCACGAGACCCCAAACACCUCGAUGGCAGGGAUGGUUCUGUCUGGUUUUACUACCCUAUGUUUUCCGGUCACACGUCCAAUAAAUACUCAUUGACGCAAUAAUUCGAUUUUACAUUCAGGAAUUCUCUUCACGAAAACGGCGUGCACUGCAGUUUGAGUCCUGGGUAUAAUUACGAAAGGAAAGGUUUUUAUCGGUUUAAAAGAUUCUCAAGCAAGCAGGCGGAGAUGUUAUCGGAGGCACCUGCGGAGCAGGACCACCGUAAACCCCUAUUCAGUUCCUCUGCACGCUUUCCAGUGGGAGUCGCGCUCAGACCCGCGCCUAAAAACUUGGGAUUCUCCCGAGAUGAGCACAGCCUCUCAUUAGCCAAAUGGGAACAUGAGUGUUCCACAACAGCAUCCAGCGAACACGUCCACGGGCGGCUGUCAGAAUAAUCCAAGAAAGGUUUUGGCAGUGAAAUGGGAACUGCUUGGAUGGCUGGACACAGCAAAUGACACUUACCACCCAAAUGGCAUUUAGUGAGAAGCAACGUUUACAGCAAAGCAUUCUAUCACUUAGUGACUAAGGAUUUUAAAAUAAACACCAAGUUCCUUUUUAAACAGAAAUGGAAAAAAGAAAAAAGAAAAAAAAAAAAAAAAACAACCCACCACUUCACAAACUUCCUGGCGAGACUCUAACGUGAGAGUCCCCAGCUAAGGUUAGAUCUGAAUCCCAGGGACUGCUUCCUUCAAAUCACAGAGUCUAGAACGAUACGCAUCUGAACAUACACUGUGCGUUCUAUUAUUUCAGGUGGAAUACAUCAAUGACAGGCAAAAGGGAGUCUUUGGCACCUUAGAACCGAUCAUCAGAUAACUGUAUCCCUAAAGUUGAA